rnacentral:rRNA from 1 species
UGGGGAAUUUUGGACAAUGGGGGCAACCCUGAUCCAGCAAUGCCGCGUGUGUGAAGAAGGCCUUCGGGUUGUAAAGCACUUUUGUCCGGAAAGAAAACUUCCGGGUUAAUACCGCGGGAGGAUGACGGUACCGGAAGAAUAAGCACCGGCUAACUACGUGCCAGCAGCCGCGGUAAUACGUAGGGUGCGAGCGUUAAUCGGAAUUACUGGGCGUAAAGCGUGCGCAGGCGGUGAUGUAAGACCGAUGUGAAAUCCCCGGGCUUAACCUGGGAACUGCAUUGGUGACUGCAUCGCUCGAGUAUGGCAGAGGGGGGUAGAAUUCCACGUGUAGCAGUGAAAUGCGUAGAGAUGUGGAGGAAUACCGAUGGCGAAGGCAGCCCCCUGGGUCAAUACUGACGCUCAUGCACGAAAGCGUGGGGAGCAAACAGGAUUAGAUACCCCGGUAGUCC